rnacentral:rRNA from 1 species
GCUGAAUGCAUCUAAGCUCGAAGCCAUCCGCAAAACGAGACAACGAAAGCCGUCAAAGAAGAUGACGUUGAUAGAACUCUUGUGUAAGAACCGAGCCUCGGCGAGGUUUUCAGCAUAGAGUUACUAAAAGCUUUACUUGAUAUUUUU